rnacentral:rRNA from 1 species
CCCUUAGACGUUCUGGGCUGCACGCGCGCUACACUGUCGGAUUCAGCGAGUCAUAUCCUUAACCGAAAGGUUUGGGUAAUCUUUUGAAAGUCCGACGUGAUGGGGAUUGAUCAUUGCAAUUAUUGAUCAUGAACGAGGAAUUCCUAGUAAGCGCGAGUCAUCAGCUCGCGUUGAUUACGUCCCUGCCCUUUGUACACACCGCCCGUCGCUACUACCGAUUGAAUGGUUUAGUGAGAUCUUCGGAUUGGCGCCUACGCGGCUUCUCUGAGGCCACGCUGGAUGCCGAAAAGUUGCUCAAACUGUAUCAUUUAGAGGAAGUAAAAGUCGUAACA